ACUAAAUGGGGAGAGGGCUUUAUGCUGAGGGGAGGGCUGGGGACGCUUAUGGCGGGAGCUGUGCGGGCCCGUGGGGAGGAAGAUGUCUGGAGGAUCAGGGAGAUGGGCGGGACCCCAGGGUUGUUAUUCAGCUCACCCCAGCCAAUGGCCCUGGGUGGGAUUAUUCGCAGCGACUGCGGCGCGUGGACCGGGGACACAGAAGACGCUGCUACGCCUCUAGCACCUAGCACAAUGACUGGUCAGGGAAUGCAGGAAUGAACAGUGUUUGCCGCGGAAUCCAGAAUCUCCAGCACUGGCAGCUCCAUCCGCGUGACCGAACCCUGUCCUUCUCCACCUUACACAGGGGAUUCUGGUGCGGGGCUGUGGGCCGGAAUUAGAACCCGCCCUUUGUCUGGAGGGUCAGUCAAUUGAGGCCUCUGUCUAGCAGUGGGGGAAUGAUGGAAGGAACGUGGAGCCCCUUACAGGGUCACACCGUGAUGCACAUCUGCCUCAGGCAGACACAGCUCCUGGCCUCCACCUCUACCCGCCUCCUCCCAGCCUGACUCAGGCCCCAUUCUCUGUGGCGCCUCCUCUCCUGCUUCCCCAAUCCGAGGGCCUCAUCAUCCAAAGCCUCGGGCCAGUUCCUAGACUGACUUCCGGACUAGAUGGCAGAACGCUGCGGGUCCCAAGAAGAGGACGCCUGGACACCCUUCCACACGGCCUUCGGCCAAGCUGCGCCCCACUGCAAGCGGAGCUGGGGACAAGAUGACCUCCCACUCCCUGUGCCCAUCUUCUACGUCAGAACUUGCCAGGAUGCCCUCCUGCCUACAAGGCCCAAGUUGAUCCCAGGAUAGAUCAACAUGUCACCCGGCCUCAACCUGCACGCAAGGUGCCCAGUGUUUUCCAAACCUGCCAGCCUCUAAUUCAAGGGGCCCUUUUGUCCCUUGACUGCUGCCCACUGACUCCGCUUGUGCUCCUGCCACUCUCCCAGUGCCUGGCACAGCGUGGUGGUCAACAAGAGUGAGUGGGAUGGAGAGAACAUGGAUCUCUGACCAGUCCAUCCACUCAGUGACCCGUCUCUGAGGAAGGAAACUGGCCACUAGAUGGCAGUGCUGAGCUGACCAGGUCCGAGUGGCCGGGUGGACAUAGCCCUCUGGAGGCAGGAAGAAAGUUGGUCUCACAGCUCUAGGCAGGCUUUCUAAAACCCAAAUGUGCGUCACUUAGAAGGCUCACUAGAACUGCCUCUGACUGCUGUGGCAGUGCUGUCUAGGGGAGAGAGCAAGGCCAUGGCCACUCAAUAGCUGUAUGAUCUUGGAUGACUCUGGAACCUUCGCUGAGUCUCCAUUUCCCCAUCUGUAAAAUGAGGUCUAGACAUAUUUACUUCCAAGGUAGUUGUGAGAUAAAAUCAGUGAAAAGCCGGACACAGCAGGUGCUCGACAAAUCCUAGCUUCCAUUUAAUAACACCUGCCAGGUGCUUCACCUGUUUCCAUGUUAGCGCAUCUGUGAUGGGGUGGACCUGGGGGGCUGGGAGCUGGGUCUUCCAGGGGAGCGGCCAUGUCCUGUUGACUCCAUUGGGGUUGGGGCAGGGACAGCAUGUGGGCAGGCCCCCCUGCAAAGGGCAGUUACCUGGCAGUGUGGACAGGAUGUGGGGAGGGGGCAGCACCCUUUGCCCCCAGAUCACUAGUUGUUUGUGGCUUUGGGUCUCCCAGGGGACAUGUGAGAGUUAUGUCCCCCUGUUCUGGAGGAGACUCAGAGUACAGGCUGUCUCCCAGCCUGCUUGCUCUCCUCCCUGACUCCCACAGUGGGCUCUGUCGCUCCAUCCUUGCCCUUCCCCAACCCCUGUGGGCGUGAGACCCACAGCUCCAUUGGCUUGAGAACCCCUUGGUGUGUCAACAUCUCCCAUGGGUGCGAGUCUCUUCUGCACUUUAGCCUGAGGCUUCCCAAGGACAAGACCCCCUGAAGAUGGGGUCCUCCCGAUGCUAGACCUAUGUUUUCCAUCGGACUGGGAUGCAUCUAAGGGUAUGGUCUGGCUCCCCCUUCAGACUCAGGCACCCACAGGACAGGAGCUGCCCUUUCCCCUUGGAUGGGAGCCACCUAAUGGGAGAACCCAUGGUUCACUGUCAGCUGGGAGCUCCCGAGGGCAGGGGUCUCCCCUUUCUGUUGGAGGACGGUUGGAGGAUGGCUGCCUCAAGCCAGGGAUGGUUCCUUCUCCGGUCCCGAGCCUGUGUCCAUCCAGCUCUGUCGGCUAGAAGCGCCCGACUCCUGUGGCUGCAGAAGGGCUCCUGGCUGAACCCCUGGACUCCUUCCCCUUCUCUUCCCCAGCCCCUCAGCCGUUGGAGGCACCAGCUCAUUCACCUUCACAGACCCAGGGGCCAGGCUGCUGUGUUGGGGUUAAUAAGCUCGGGGCCUUGCUCUACUCCUGCCUCCCCACCCAGCCAGGGGCCGCUCAAGCCUGCUCCCGGCCUCUAACCCUGAGACCAGCUCUUUAAUUGCUUUCCUUGGUCUGCUCUGCUCCCUGCUCCCUUCUGUCUCCCUGCCUGACUGUGUCCCUUUGGGAGGGUGAGAGGCGGGGACCAGAUGUGUCCCUGGAGGGAGGAGAGGGCUGACCGGCGGCCUGUUAUUUCCAAUCCAGUGGUCCUUCAAAUGGGCAGGAUGAGCCCGGGGUAGGGCUGCGGGUGAGCCCAGGGGAGCUCUGGGGUGAGCUAGAAAACACAGCCAUGGUCUCCAGGCUCUUGGGUACGACUCUGGUCCUUCCUCCACCCACAAACUCCAUCCCAAGACUUUCUAGGUCCCUAUUCACAAAAGAACUGUGGAGAAGGGGAAGACAGUCAGAAACUAGACUCUGUCUGGGAAGCAGGAUCCCCCAAACCUAGCCAAGAGCCAAAGAGACAUUCUGGGGGAAACUGGAGGCAGAUGAGCAAGGGUCUGGGAGGCAGGAUGCCUGAGUUAGCAGCUGCCAGGGAGGAAGGAUCCCCAUGGGGUGAGGAUGUCCCCUGUGGGUGCCAAGCCGAUGGCUGGCGGUGGGAGGACCCAGUGGAAAAAGCCCAGUCCCUUCCUCUCGACACAUCCUAACACUGAUGGAGGUUUGGGUUUACGCUCAGGUGACAAGGACUCCAUCCUGACUCUUUGUGUGAAGGGACCAUGUCUUGUUCUGUGUCUGCAGCUCCUGGCACUGAGCCUGAUUCUCUGAACUGGGCAGGAAUUUGUGCCCCCGGGGUGGGGCCCAGACCUGAGCUUCGGGGCCUGGAGUGGGUGCAAAGAGCCUGGGAAGAGAGGACGUCUAAACUCCCUGAAGUAGAGGCAGGGGCUCUGCGUAGGCCCUCAAGGCGGAAGAGGCAGGCUGAAGCCGGGAGGGGGAACCUAGGGCAGUGGACGGGGGAGCCAUCUAUUGCCGCCUCUGGCGGAUGACUCUAUGUGAGAACAAUCCAAUCUCAGAGCCUCAUCGCUGCCCACGGAGGUCAGCUGGGAGCCGGCCGUCAGCUCGCUGCCCCCCUCAGCCCCUGCCAGCUCCCUGGACCAGCCAGGCUGCCUCCUCGUGAACGGCCCCUCUCAGCCCAACCUCCCGUGAUUGAGGGCAGGAGCCACGUGUGCUUAACUCCAUCGGCAGAGUCUUUGUACAUUUAAUGGGUCACCCGAGAGCACAUUUUGCACCACGGAGCCACAAAUGUUUGCUGAGCGAAUGGUCAGCUGCAGAACAUCCUUGUCAAGAGUGACCUCUUCCCCUUGCAAGCUGCCCCCAGCCCUCGUGCAACGGAGCCUGUUGGGCGAAGCUUGCCCUCCUGGCCCUGGUUACCAGCCACCUUGCCCUGUGCCUGCUGCCUCUGCGCUUGCAGGGGUGAUGGUGACGAUCAAAUGAGAUAAUAGAUGUGAGGGCCCCAGGAAAUGAGGAACUUAUUCAAUUUGGAUCCAACCAGCAUGCGGCGAGGUCUCCUGAGGUCAAAGGCACCACACCAAGCCGUUGGGGGCUACAGAUGUGAGGUGGUGACUGCUUCUGUGGGGAUCAUGGUACCCAGGGGAAGGAAACUCAUGAAGACUAAUUGGAGAGGAGGAAAUUCCCGGCACGCGGAAAGAAACGAUGUCUGUUCACUUCUAAACAGAAGCAGCUUGGUGUCACGUGUGCGACCAGAUCCUGGUCUGAGUCCUGGCGCUGCCACUUGCCGUCUUAACUCCGGGCACAUUUUGUUAACCUUUUUGUCUAUUUCCUCAUUAUACCUCAUAAGGUCGUGAAGUCGUGUGAGAUGCCUGCAGCCGGUAGGAAUGCGGCGCUCCCCUCUGUGCUCUCCACUCCUCCAAAAAGGCAUGGAAACUGAGCGGGGAGGGGUGCCCCAGGUAGAGGGGGAGGUUGCUCGCCCAGAGCAGCAGAGGCCUCACUUGAAAUUAGCGGCAGUGUUUACACACUACUCACAAAGUGCUAAAUGCCUUUUACGUGUUUGUUUUCAGAAGCAAUUUAAACACAGACUCCUGGAAUUUUGGUUAUGCCAUUCGUUCGUGCAGCCAGCCACGUCUUCCUGGGGAAAAAGAGGCAGGCUUGGGUUGAACUGUCAAAAUCCGAAUGAGUGGAGGGGAAAGCCACGAACGGGGGUGGAG